rnacentral:tRNA from 1 species
AGGCAAUUAGUUUAAUAAAAACACUUGGUUUCGGCCCAAAAGCUUGUGGUUUAAGUCCAUAAUUACCUA